GCUGGCGCCUGCGGUGAGCUAUAAACGUCCACCACGGCCGGUGAAGAGAAGUUUGGAAGCACACGUUGGUUGUCCGUGUUGGGAGCUGAAACUUCAACGUGGGGGAGGGGACUUUUGGGUUCAGGUGCCUGCCUUUGUCCGCAGCCCUGUGGAGCAGGCCCGCGGGGAGGCCGCUUGCCUUUGCCCUUCGAGAACCUGCAGGGCGACGGAGAAUGGGGGGAGGCACCGCCCACAGACAGGCACCCACAGAAGGUCAGUUUUCUCAAGUUUUAUUGUAAAAUCCUCAGAAAAAGAGCAUUUACAAUGACAAUACUGGAUGAUAAUCUGUGAAUCUUCAUAUCAAGUGGUACUGCAGUUACACGGCGCGUUCACUACUGUGCAAUACGUCAAAGUAAACACAAACUUAUUUCAAAUGCCACAUAGUUACUGUGUUGGUACAAAUUUCUACUAAAGUUGAUGUAAUAAAAAUAAUUUAUAUAUAUUUUAUAAAUAAGGAAAAAUUCACAUGUGUAGUAAUUACAGGAGGCCUUUUGAGAAAUACUGGUGAUUACAGAAAAUAUAUUUUGGUGUCUACACAACAGCUCAAAAUAACGUAUCUGCCUUGAAAUAAGAGAUCUGAAAGUUUUCUGAGGUGGGGGAGGAUGAGAAUCUUAACGGGAUGAAGGGUGUGCCUGUGACUUCCUAUCUCGAGGGCCGUUCAGCUACAUGAGAGCGUGAAACAGUGUGUGUGAUCACCCCAGCCACACUCCAUGCCCACGUCUGUUCUGAGAUCAUUUCACAGUCUUCGGAGAGUGUGAGCAGAGGGCAGAACAAUGGGGUGUGAUGCGGCCAGGCCAGGAGGGGGGCUGGCCAGCCACAGGAGCCAGCCUGGGUGUGCCGUGGGGUCUGGGGUGACAGCUUAUGGACCUGUUAUCCCCACCUGUUUGAAGCAGCUCAAGGAGCAAGGGACCGACAACUCUUAAACUGAUGGCAGAUGUCACCCUGGGCAGUGGACGAAGGGUGAGAUUUUGGGAAUUUUCUCAUUGGAGAGCACUCGGGCCCCAUGGCCAGCCAAGACUGGUUGCCCCUCCUCGGAAACAAAGUUCCGAUCUUGAAGAGUGUAUCCCUAACGGGCAGCAUUCUCUGAUCCUGCCGUGGUGACGUGUGGAAAGGUCGCCCUGCUUGGGGUAGGGGUGAGUCAAUAGUUAUUGCUUUGUGGAGUGCAGGCUAAGCCUUCUAGAGCUCUCUGCGGUGUGGCCCACAUUCUCUAGGGCUACAAAGAGAUGGUCCCACAUUAGUCAAGACGAGCUUGGAAAGAGGGGGGUGUGAAUUGUGGGUUUGUCCAAGAACAGAAGCAGAAAGUACACGGUCAACACUGUGGUGCUGGCUGCAGCAGCCUCGCUGUCGGUGUUGGAGGCCAAUCCCUGCUUUCCCCCUACUUCCCGUAAUUUCCAAAUUGUGUUCGGUUAAAUCCCCAUUGCUGCCCAUAGCUCCAAAGAAGGUGUGAGCCCAGGCCUGCUGGGCCGCCGGUGGCCGUGGGGUGGCUGGUACCGAAAGCCCGCAGGCUCCCAUAACGUGCUCAAGGGCUCAAGUAACCUGGCGGGUAGUUCGGUGUAGACCACAGCAGGGAGUGGCUUGCACUACACCCAGGAUUUGGGGUCUUGUAGUCAGACCGUGAGCAUAGGCACCAUCUGUUUUCUCCUUUGCAUCUUCUAAGCCUUUCUCUGUUCUAUAAUCUCUGUGAUUUUGAAGAGAAACCAUGACAACUAAUGACUUUGUUGAAUAAAACUGCGACAUGCCAGUCUGGGAGUGAAUGGUAGCAUCUGGCCCUGUGAGUGACUUCUUUCUUGGACUGGAAAGCAGGGUAGUGCCAUGGGGCAAAGGCCAUUGGGGUGGCUGGUGUGACAGCAGGUCAGUUGCCCCUCAGAUGGUAGGAGCUGUGGCACGGCUCGUGUGCAGGAGGCCUGAGGCAUAGGCGGGGAGCCGGAAAGGUAGAGAAUAAACUGGGAAUGAGGGAGGUGUAGCUCGGGCCCUCUAAGGGAGGACGCUUGGGUGAGUCAUCACCAUCUGUAUCCCUGCCCGACGGUCUCUGUUUGAGUUUGCUCUGGUCUUAGAUACCUCGCUUGGAAGGGCUGUGAGCUGGGGCAUGGGGUCAUAAUUCUGGACAGCAAAGGGCUGUGUCCCAAUGGGUUCUGACUGCACUUGGAGGAGGAUCUGGGGUUCUGGGUGGGGGAGGACUGCAAAGGACUGCGUGUCAGCAUGGUUGUCAGCCUAUGUCACAGUCGGGCUUCCUGGCGGUGGGGGGGGGCGCUUUCAGAGGAGCUGGGUGCAGGGAGGAGAAGGUGAGGUAGACUGGUAGGAGUAUGGGAGGGAGGGGGAGUGGCAUCAGCGAUCCAGAGGCUUCUUUCUGGAGAGGAGAUGGGGUUGUGAGGUUUGGUGAUGAAGCUGGCUCUGUGUCCACAGUACAUGAAUGAAACACACAGUGAGAAGUGGAUGAUGUCCUAAGCCCCUGGUAGAAAAAUAUAUCCAGAGUGGAUCUGUUUCAUGUCUCCGUUCUGGAUUCUCCUUUAGUUCACAGGUUAUUGGUCAACAGAAAAGAAGUUGUGGCCACACAAAGCCAACUUCCGGCUGCUCUCUUAGAUGAAGUCUCAGCAGUUAGAUGGCCUAGGGCUGCAGGCGGCUCUCUGCUUCAUUUGGGGUUGAGAGCUGUCCUCGGGGCCAAACCUGGAGCUAGGAGCCCCUUCCCGCGCAGGGGAGCAGGCAGGGAACGAGAUGGCCCAGGUCGGGUGGGGAGGGGAUUGUAGGGGCUGAGCUUGUGUCUCUGCAAAUCAUGCCUCUAGAUCCAAGUCCCUGUAGCUUGGUAGGAGUGGUUGGCCCCAGCCCGACUUCACAGAGCUCUUCCAGCUACUUCUAGGGGCUUGGGGAAGGUAGUAGGACCCUCAAAUGCCUGGGAGACAGUGGGAAGAAGCCCGGGCCAGCCACAGGCAGGGUUGCUGGGGCAGGGAGGGUGGCAUGUACAAGGCGUUUGCCCCACACCCAGGCUUCCUGUGCAGAGAGGCCAUGCAGUUGCUUGGAUGCCGAUGAAUCCCUCUUCUUACCGUCUGUCUGUGCAAGGCUGGGUGGGCUUUCUGGACCUGGAGCCUCCAUGCAGGGUUCCACUCACGUGGGCAGAGGGAGUACGUGCACCUCCGUUUCAAAUCUUUCAUAUCAGCAAAAGGUGUGGGUUAUUUGUGAGUUGUUAUGAAAAAAAUACUAUGUUGAAUUUUUGUGAAAUCAAUUUUAUUUCAAAAUUAAGUAAUUUCGAAGUAGUUGAUUAUGAAAGCGGCUUUUUCAUGUAAGAUGAAUGCUUCUUCAGUGUGAAAUAGUAGUCAUUCGCUCAUCUUGUGUGUUCAGUGGAAGGAUCACCGGCUGGGCUGGCUGCAAGGCUUACCAGGUUUGACUUUCCAACUGUGUCCCAGCCUCUUCUGGGGCUGGAAGGGCCCCGGGGGACCUGGCUCACCUUUCCCCUGCCUCCUAGUCCAGCAGUUUUGCUGGUCACCCCGCUGAAAAGAAACCUACUCUCCUGCCUUUGGGACGGUGCAGACUCGGUCUCCGGGCGGGCGGAUCCCUGCUGUGGUGCGGUAUUGUGCGCGGCGUGGGCCGCGAGGCCUGAGUCAGCGAGAGGCAGGGAUACUUCUCAGACACACUUAGAAACGGAAGGACUGGGGCAGGAAAGCUGCCACAGAGUCACUGCCACUGCAAAAAGCCAGUUGGGAUUGGAUGGACUCUGACUUAGGAACCCCGGGACCCUGACGCUCUGGCCUGGCGAUUGGCAGGCUCUUGCUCAGGCUCGGAGACUUUUUAUUUUUUAUCAUGUUCGGUUAUCCAGCAUGUAGCACAUCGUUAGUUUUUGAUGUAGUGUUCAACGAUUCAUUAGUUGCUUUUAACAUCAGGGCUCAUCCCAAUUUUUUUUUUUUUUAUUCUGCCAGGGGCUGCCACCACUUAGAAGAUUUUCCCAAAGGGAGAAGUUCACGGAAGUUGGAGGAUUUCAGCGAUAAAGUUUCCGAAGAAGAGGUAAGAGACCAUUCCAGUCUGAUGAAAGGUAUCAAUCUACACAUUCAAGAACCACUAAAACUUCCAAAUUGGAA